AUUGAACGCUGGCGGCAGGCUUAACACAUGCAAGUCGAGCGGAGAUGAGGUGCUUGCACCUUAUCUUAGCGGCGGACGGGUGAGUAAUGCUUAGGAAUCUGCCAUUUAGUGGGGGACAACAUUCCGAAAGGAAUGCUAAUACCGCAUACGUCCUACGGGAGAAAGCAGGGGAUCUUCGGACCUUGCGCUAAUAGAUGAGCCUAAGUCGGAUUAGCUAGUUGGUGGGGUAAAGGCCUACCAAGGCGACGAUCUGUAGCGGGUCUGAGAGGAUGAUCCGCCACACUGGGACUGAGACACGGCCCAGACUCCUACGGGAGGCAGCAGUGGGGAAUAUUGGACAAUGGGGGGAACCCUGAUCCAGCCAUGCCGCGUGUGUGAAGAAGGCCUUAUGGUUGUAAAGCACUUUAAGCGAGGAGGAGGCUACUGAGACUAAUACUCUUGGACAGUGGACGUUACUCGCAGAAUAAGCACCGGCUAACUCUGUGCCAGCCGCCGCCGUAACAC
rnacentral:rRNA from 1 species